rnacentral:rRNA from 1 species
ACUGUCAGGUGGGCAGUUUGACUGGGGCGGUCGCCUCCCAAAAGGUAACGGAGGCGCUCAAAGGUUCUCUCAGUACGGUCGGAAAUCGUACGUAGAGUGUAAAGGCAAAAGAGAGCUUGAUUGCAAGACAUACAGGUCGAGCAAGGAUGAAAAUCGGACUUAGUGAUCCGGUGGUUCUGCGUGGAAGGGCCAUCGCUCAACGGAUAAAAGCUACCCUGGGGAUAACAGGCUUAUCUCCCCCAAGAGUCCACAUCGACGGGGAGGUUUGGCACCUCGAUGUCGGCUCAUCACAUCCUGGGGCUGUAGUAGGUCCCAAGGGUUGGGCUGUUCGCCCAUUAAAGUGGUACGCGAGCUGGGUUCAGAACGUCGUGAGACAGUUCGGUCCCUAUCCGUCGCAGGCGUAGGAAAUUUGAGAAGACCUGUCCUUAGUACGAGAGGACCGGGAUGGACGUACCUCUGGU